rnacentral:rRNA from 1 species
CAAUAGCGUAUAUUAAAGCUGUUGCGAUUAAAAAGCUCGUAGUUGGAUUUCUGUCAAGGACAACUGGUCCGCCCUCCGGGUGAGCACAUAGUUUGGUCUUGGCAUCUUGCUGGAAGCUGUUGCUGCACUUGGCUGUGUGGCGCAGCGUCCAGCACUUUCACUUUGAGGAAAUUGGAGUGUUUCAAGCAGGCACAUGCCUUUGGACACAGUAGCAUGGAAUAAUUAGAUUGGGCUUUUGCUCCAAUUUGUCGGUUUCUGGAGCUGAGGUGAGAAUUAAUGGGGAUUGUUGGGGGCAUCCGAAUUUAGCCGUCAGAGGUGAAAUUCUUGGAUCUGCUAAAGACGGACAACUGCGAAAGCGUUUGCCCAGGAUGUUUUCAUUGA